rnacentral:misc_RNA from 1 species
UCCGGCUUAUCACCGGCAGUCCCCUUAGAGUGCCCAACCAAAUGAUGGCAACUAAGGACAAGGGUUGCGCUCGUUGCGGGACUUAACCCAACAUCUCACGACACGAGCUGACGACAGCCAUGCAGCACCUAUAUAACGGCCCGAAGGCGAUAACAUUUCUGCUAUCUUCCAUUACAUUUCGAGCCCAGGUAAGGUUUUUCGCGUUGCAUCGAAUUAAACCACAUGCUCCACCGCUUGUGCGGGCCCCCGUCAAUUUCUUUGAGUUUUAACCUUGCGGCCGUACUCCCCAGGCGGGGUACUUAACGCGUUAGCUGCGUCACUGAAGGGGUCAAUACCUCCAACAACAAGUACCCAUCGUUUACGGCGUGGACUAC